rnacentral:rRNA from 1 species
UACGAAGGGGGCUAGCGUUGCUCGGCAUCACUGGGCGUAAAGCGCACGUAGGCGGAUUGUUAAGUCAGGGGUGAAAUCCUGGAGCUCAACUCCAGAACUGCCUUUGAUACUGGCGAUCUUGAGUCCGGGAGAGGUGAGUGGAACUGCGAGUGUAGAGGUGAAAUUCGUAGAUAUUCGCAAGAACACCAGUGGCGAAGGCGGCUCACUGGCCCGGUACUGACGCUGAGGUGCGAAAGCGUGGGGAGCAAACAGG